CAGCCGUGAUGCUGCCGUCGGGGUGGAAGUACCGCCGCAUUGGGGGGCCGCCCUCGCCCCUCCAGGACGGAUCCAGCUCCCGCCAGUACUCCGGCGCCAUCUGCAGGGGGGGAGGGGAAGAAGAAGCUAAUUAUCCGCCUUACAACUUGCUUGAGGUGCCCCCCUGGAAUGUUUGGCACCAAUUCCAUGAAAGUAGCACCUCCUAAACAUUGUUGUAAACGCAUUCAGACACUAUAGACAACACAUUUCACAUGUAGAUGCAAUAGAUGGUGUUACAAGAAACAGCUGUGCUGGUAUGCAGUAUGGUCACUCACAUUUGAGCUAUAGUAGAUUGCGACGGUGUUCAACAGGAAGUGGCAGUUUUGAGCCAGAGGGAUAACAAAUAUCUCUCACUGUAUCUCAUUUUUUGAAUAGAUGCAGUGACAGAUAUCUGUAUUUAGGCAUCACACUACAAACUUUAGAACACAGAGAGAAGAGACGAGUUUGAUAAGAGGAAAGGCAGAUGAGAUGGAUACUGGCUGCAGAGAAGCGAGAACAAACCACAGCACAAAAGUAGAUGAGCUGGACUAUACUCCUAUGAAACUAAGAAAACUAAAUGUAAAAUGCAGAAACUAAUCCUUCAGAGAGGCCUCGGUUUCUGCUGUCCCAAAACUAAAUUUCUCCCCGGCACAGCUCUUCCACUGAGGAGCUAUUUAUAACAUCACAUAAAGACUCCUUACCAUCAACAACUUGAAAGUAAAUCUAAACAUAGAGGACUAAUGACACAAGACUCUUUAAACAUAUCAGCAUGGAUGAUCCCUAUCAAUUGCCAUGUUGUUGAAUCAUCCUUGUUCUCAAGACUGAUGUGGAAUCGUUAAAGCCACCAAAAGCUUGUUACUCGGGCUGGUCUGGUGCAGCGUCUUGAUAUAGCCCAUCAUCAUCAGCAAUAACUAAUCCUCCACAGAGGCCUACGGUUUUCACUGUCCUAAAACUAUUUUUCUCCCCGGUGCAUAACUAUUCUGAUGAGGAGCUAUUUAUAACAAUUAAAUAAAGACUCCCACUUCUUAUCAACAACUUGAAAGUAAUCCAAACCUAGAAGACUAAUGAAUUAAUACUCAAUAAAAUAAUAACUAAGGAUAGUAAUCAAAGGUUAACUACUACUACUUCCACAAAAAUCGGCAGGGAAGAUCCCUAUCAGAGUUCCGUGUGCUCUUCAUUUUGACUGCUGGAGAAGUUCAUGCUAAUUAUAAAGUAAAGAAUACUUAAAUUUUUUAAAAACACAACUAUUAAUUAAAAAUAUAAAAGGGCAUUCUUCUCCUUUUUAUUUUUUAAUUUAAAUGCAUUUAAAUUACUAAUUUGGUCAAAAUGUUGCCGGCCGCUAACUUUUUUGACGGAAACGUUAAAUAUGGACCAAAAAUACGGUUAAGGACUAGAAGCUAUCACACUUAAAAAUGUAGGACCUAAAAGUUUUUUUAGGAAAAUGUAGAAGACCAAUUUUUUUAGGUAAUGGCACGGGAUUUUAGGAAAUGUUGUUUUGUGUGUUGAGUAGUGAGAGAAAAUAUUAUAUUUAUAUUAAUGUGUGAGAGAACUUUUUCUAAAAAAGGAAUGUGACAUCUUCUGUGGGACAAACAAAAAAAGAAAGUGUGACAUCUAUUAUGGGACGUAAGGAGUAUAAUAUUUGUAACAUGUAAGAUCAACAUCUUUAAAUGUCUCAGAAACAAUCCAACGGAAAUUCUCCCUCUGUCCUAUUAAAAAUGAAAUGUUUUUCUUUUUGGGCGGCCCAAUUAAAAAUGAAAUGUUUCCUUAAAUAAAAACAACAUAUUUCUUUGUAUGUUUACAUAGUGAUAACUUAGAUAAAUAAAGUUAAUAUACGAUUAUCUUAUCCAUCACAUAUGUUGGCAUAUUGAAUAAGUGACAGAGUAAUAGUCCUCAAAAACAUAUAUUCCCAAUACAAUAUAUGAUCUAGAGCAAAUGCCCAAUAUAGUAAUAUCUUUUACUUUUUCCACUCAAUAACACUAUUUAAGGCAAACACGCUAAAAAACUUAUUUUUAAGGACACCAAAAUUGAGACGCAAUUACUUGUGUUGGAAAAUUUUUAAAAAUAACACAAUUUAGGACGCCAAAGAAAGCGUUCCUAAAUCAAGGACAAAUUAACUUAUUUUUUUUGCUUUUUAGGACGCUUCCAUUGCGAUCUCUAAUUUUAGUUAAGACACUAACAAUAAGAAUGUUUUUUGAAGCGUUGGCGGUAUAUUUAGAAACAUUUAGCGUCCUUAAUUGCAUUAAAAAAUGUCCUUAACGGUUGUUUUUGUUGUAGUGACAUUAGGCCCUUCAGAUAUGUUAUGUGAGUUUACAAAUAAUUUCCGAAUCAUACUUGGUCACUAAAAGGAAUUUACUCAUUCAACUCGCAACACGAAUCCCGAGUUUCAAUGCUCUAAUAUAUUAAGGUUUAGGUUCAGAUUUCAAAAGGUUGAUAAUUUUAUUUCAAUACAAUAUUAUACUCCUAGUUAUAUGUCAUAAAAUAGUUUAGUGCACAAAAGUUAACUAGUUAAAACCUACACAAUUUCAUGUUUAGCAAUAAAAUCCAUCAUUAAGUAUACCCAAUUAGUGAGUUAUUUCAAAGGGAUUAUUUCUAAACCUUCCUUUUAUUAUUGAUUUUAUCAAUUUUUUCAAUGUGAUAGUCAAAACCUUCAAUUUGAGAACAGUCUUAGUAUUAUAGGACCCCUUUUUGGGGAUAGGAAGGGGAAAAAGAGGGGAUAGAGUAUUCUAAAUGAAAGUAACCCCCCUAACUGAUUAUGAAACAUUUAUAUUUAUAUAGUAUCUGUUUUAAGCUUUAAUAAAUAUAGUUAUAACCAAAUUUAAAAAUUCCCACUGCAAAAUUUAGAUACUUAAAUAUUCUAAGGCUUAACUAAGCUUGGAAAAGGUAAUUUAUAACCUUAAAGAACUACUGUAUUUAUUUAUCAAAACUAAUAAUUAUUAGGAAAUCUUAUAUCCUUUAAUUGAUUACCCUCAAAAUCCCAUUCAAAGUGAAUCAUUUCUUUUUUGGCACAUGAGAGAAAACAGGUAUGAUAAUAGAAAGAUUUCUCUUUAUGACUUAUACUAACCUAUCCCGACACAGGAAAGUGACCUAUCCCGGCACAUGAAACUGACCAACCG